rnacentral:rRNA from 1 species
UACGAAGGACCCAAGCGUUAUCCGGAUUUAUUGGGUUUAAAGGGUGCGUAGGCGGAUUGUUAAGUCAGUGGUGAAAGCUCCGAGCCCAACUCGGAAAUUGCCAUUGAUACUGAUGAUCUUGAGUACAUUUGAGGUGGGCGGAAUGUGUCAUGUAGCGGUGAAAUGCUUAGAGAUGACACAGAACACCGAUUGCGAAGGCAGCUCACUAAACUGUAACUGACGCUGAGGCACGAAAGCGUGGGGAGCAAACAGG